GACAGAGGGUGCAAACGUUGUUCGGAAUUACUGGGCGUAAAGCGCGUGUAGGCGGUCUCGCAAGUCGGGUGUGAAAGCCCAGGGCUCAACCCUGGAAGUGCAUUCGAUACUGCGAGGCUAGAGUCCCGGAGAGGAUGGUGGAACUCUCGGUGUAGAGGUGAAAUUCGUAGAUAUCGAGAAGAACACCGGUGGCGAAGGCGGCAUCCUGGACCAACACUGACGCUGAGUGAGCGAAAGCCAGGGGAGCAAACGGG
rnacentral:rRNA from 1 species